rnacentral:rRNA from 1 species
AGAGAAUAGAUACCCCGGUAGUCCACGCCGUAAACUAUGGACGCUAGCUGUUAGAAGUAUCGACCCUUCUAGUAGCGAAAGCUAAACGCGUUAAGCGUCCCGCCUGUGGAGUACGAGCGCAAGCUUAAAACAUAAAGGAAUUGACGGGGACCCGCACAAGCGGUGGAGCGUGUUGUUUAAAUUCGAUGCUAAGCGAAGAACCUUACCCAGGUUUGACAUCCUGCUAAUUUCUCCGAAAGGAGAGAGUGCCUUCGGGCCGCAGUGGCAGGUGUUGCAUGGCCGUCGUCAGCUCGUGUCGUGAGAUGUUUGGUUAAGUCCAUCAACGAGCGCAACCCUUUUGUUUAGUUGUAUUUCUCUAAACAGACUG